UACGAAGGGGGCUAGCGUUGCUCGGAAUCACUGGGCGUAAAGCGCACGUAGGCGGUCUGUCGCGUCGGAUGUGAAAACCCAGGGCUCAACCCUGGGCCUGCAUUCGAUACGGGCAGACUAGAGUUCGGUAGGGGAGACUGGAAUUCCUGGUGUAGCGGUGAAAUGCGCAGAUAUCAGGAGGAACACCGGUGGCGAAGGCGGGUCUCUGGGCCGAAACUGACGCUGAGGAGCGAAAGCGUGGGGAGCAAACAGG
rnacentral:rRNA from 1 species